UUGGUCAUGUGACCAAAGUUCAGGUGAGUUCUGGUCAGAGGUCAUGGCUCCGGUCAGAGCUCAGCAUGGCUCAGAACACAAAUGGUGGCGCUUCGGUGAGUGCACUCUUUAUUUACCGGUUGUGUUUGUAAAAGUCAGUAAUAGUUACCGGACACGUUGCACAUUAACAUAAUUUGUUGAACAAUGUCUACAGGGAACUUUUAAUGAGGUGGCAUUCGUUAAAAAUGUGUCAGCUAUUAGCCAGCGUUGUUAGCUAUUAGCUAACUUUAUAUUACCAUGGUUUACUGUUGGUAACAUUACUCACAGUUCUGUGGCAGCGAGUAUGAUCUGACUGACAAGAAAUGUCUGACUACAGUACAUUUAACAGCUGGUCAGUUAAGAGCUGCUUCACUUUACUCAAAACUGUUUUAAAAAUAGUAUAAAUGGAUAGCCGAUAAUAUAACUGUCACCAAACUCCUAUAAUGCGUAUUGAAGUCUAGUUAGUAACAUUUAACUGUUUAAAACUUGAUUUUUGUGCUGCUGGUUUGUAAUAUCCUUUGUCCUGUAUUUUUGAUGACAGGAUAGUCAGCCUGAUGAAAUUGUGCAGUCAGCCAGGCGCUUAUUGCAUUUAAUCAGUUUGUCUGAAAGACAACGGGGCGCAGCUAGUGGUGGAGUAACAAAUCAAGUUCUGAGGUUUAGUAUUAAGCUUUAGUUCAUGUACAUAUGGCUUAUUUUACUUAUACAUUGCAGAUGUAUUGAUGAUUAAUACAUAUUCGUGGAUACAAUCCUGCAGAGAACAGAGGCAUGCAGAGAGACCAUCACUUCAAAUGGAAAUGACCAGGUCCUUUCCAGGUGUUUUUACCAAGGCCAGAGGGAAGAGGUGCUUUCCUGCAGCAAAUCUUGUUCCUGCCAAGAGACUUAAACCACUUGAUGUGGCUUUCUAUUUGUUGCCAAAGCAGUGUGAAAAAACUCCAAAAGAGCAGGAGCAUAUAGUCCAUAUGCAUGCAGGAUUGGGCCGUAGGACUGCUCAUCUAGAUGAAAGCACAACACAUGAAGAGUUAUGUGAUGCCCUCAAAGUUUUAUUUCCAAAAUUGGGGGCCAUGACUGGUGGGUGGCUGCUAUACAAAUCUGCAGGUGGAUGGGGUAGCCGAAAACUCUCUCUUGUGGCUCCUGAUGAGACUGGCUAUACAGGCAUGAUCUUGAAGUCUGUAAGUCGUGGGGGUAAAAAUCUUUUCAUAGCCCCAAUUCAAGAGGAACUCAGCACAAAUCCCCUACCACUAACUGAUGAAGCAUUCAGUAGCAUGCCAAAAGCCACAUGUCAGAAGUGUGGAGUUGCAGUUCCUCUUCCACUCCUGACCGAACACAUCAAGUCUUGUGAUGUCAUGUAUGUUGGCAGUUGUGAUAACCUGGCUAAUGUGGAAAGCAGUGAGCCUGAAGACAGAAAAUCUUGAAGGGGGAUCCAUACUGUCAGAUAAGGAUAAACAGCGUGUCCAGGACUUGGUCCAUGCCUGGGACCUCCCUUGCCUAACUGAGAAAAACAGGAGAUUUUUGAGAAGCUAUUGAUCCAUGAUCCAUGAUCCUUAAUAGGACGUCUCACAUGACAAAUCAAGCAGCUGAGACGAGGUGUUAAAGAAACCCCAAUGUGGACACUGGUGACCCAAAGACCUGACACAGUGGCCUUGCUUUUUCUGAAAGAGGGAGCAGGAAAUUUCAGCCCUGAGGUACUUCUUCAGCAACUCACAUGGCCUCGUGAGGAUAGUGACGAUGAUGACGAUUGUUCAGUUGACACCAAAUGCAGCAUAUCAGGCUAUCUUGAAACAGUUCAUUGCUGAUGCAACACCAACUGAACUGACCGACCUGGUCAAAUUCUGGACCGAAUGGGAGAUUCUACCACUGAGUCUCUCUGUAGAAGUGGUCGAGGGCAGAUACCCAACAGCCGCCACUUGCUUUGAGACCUUGCGCAUCCCAGGGCAUUACAAGAAUUACACAUCUCUUAAAUGUGACAUCCUGGCCUGUAUUUGCAGUUGCCAUAGAGGAUUUGGUCUUGUG